rnacentral:rRNA from 1 species
ACGGGUAGCCGGCCUGAGAGGGUGACCGGCCACACUGGGACUGAGACACGGCCCAGACUCCUACGGGAGGCAGCAGUGGGGAAUAUUGCACAAUGGGCGGAAGCCUGAUGCAGCAACGCCGCGUGAGGGAUGACGGCCUUCGGGUUGUAAACCUCUUUUAGCAAGGAAGAAGCGGAAGUGACGGUACUUGCAGAAAAAGCGCCGGCUAACUACGUGCCAGCAGCCGCGGUAAUACGUAGGGCGCAAGCGUUAUCCGGAAUUAUUGGGCGUAAAGAGCUCGUAGGCGGUUUGUCGCGUCUGCUGUGAAAACUGGAGGCUCAACCUCCAGCCUGCAGUGGGUACGGGCAGACUAGAGUGCGGUAGGGGAGAUUGGAAUUCCUGGUGUAGCGGUGGAAUGCGCAGAUAUCAGGAGGAACACCGAUGGCGAAGGCAGAUCUCUGGGCCGUAACUGACGCUGAGGAGCGAAAGGGUGGGGAGCAA